CGCUUCCUGACUGGGCGCAGGCUCUGGGCCCCGCGGCUAGCUUUCGGCUUGCAGCAGUCGGGCUAGGGCUCGCCGCCGCCUUUGUUAAUCUGCACGCAGGGCAGGCGGAGGGGAUUUGACACAUAAUGACAGUGACCUCUGAAGUAUUUACUUCUUACUUCAUAUAUCUUUGAGCCCACACAUGAAGAAAUCUUCCUCUGCAUCUUGUCUCUGGAAUUGAAGUUGCCAAUUUCCUGAAGACUUUGGACAUGUACCAUCUCUCAAGAGCAACAGCGACUAUCAACUUCUGGAAAAUGUCUCUCUUGAACUGGAGAGAAUGCAGUUGUACUUUCCGUGCCAUAUUGAGGAGUGAGCCUCUGUGCACCCUGAAGAUAGACUGGAGCCAUAUAUAAGCCACAGUAGACGCCAUGUGGUGUGAGGAGGAACCCAGCCACAUUCAGGUAUCAUGUGCAUAUGAAACUGAAGUUGGAGGACUUUUUGUCAUGUAGGUAACAAACAAGGUAAGGAAACUAGAGCUCAUUGGCUAUAGAGAAUUCUGUACACAGAGGUGGUCUUUCAUUAAGACCUGAAAGAUAAACCAGAUUCAAACAUGCAGAGGAAAUUUUGUGGGAUGCAAUUAAACAUUAAUUUAGAAGGAAGCAUGUGUUUCAUGUCGCAGUAAAUUUAUACUGGGGAAAGAGAGGUUGCUAUGAAGGUAACAAUCUAAACUGUCAUUUCAAAUAUGUAAAUGCCUAUUUUCUGUAUAUUUUUUCAGUUAAAUAGUUGCUGUCAAUCAUUCAGACAGUAGAAUGUAGUGACCAAAUGGCCAAUGUCCUAAUGGAUGGAGGUGGCAUUUAUGCAGUGGCCAAGAAAUGGGUCUCUGGUGACAGCCUGAUCCAGGUCACUGACCUGCUGCUGCAAAAUCUCAGCCCUGUAAGCUGAGAUGUGAUUUCACUUCUCUAAGGAGUCUCUUUGCUGUAAAAUACAUCAAUAUUAUGAACAAUACCUUCAUGCAUGUUUCAGAAUUAAAUACCAUGCAAAUGGAAAGAGCCUGGUCCAGUGCUUGGCACUCUGUCAGCUCCUCAGGUGGAUCUCUGUCAGCAUCCUUACAAGGGGCCAGGCUGACUUUCAGAAGUGGAGUCUCUUCAAGAAGUACUCUAUAUGAGAUAAUGAGGAUACAGGCAAAUUCAGCUAAGUUGAAAGUGGUAGGUGGUAUUUGAUGAAAGAGUUCUGUGUCCUCAAUGCAGUGAUGCUGGGUUUUAAAUCUACUGAGCAGUAGCAUUGUGGAUUGGGAUUCAGAAAGAGAUAUCAAAGAAAGAAGGGAAGAGUCUGGAAAUGCACCAAGUUAUUUCAGUUUUUCUGUUGUUUAAUGUGUUAUAUUUCAGUCUCCACCUACAGCAGUACUGGAUUGAUGUUUCCAAACAGAACCCAUUGAGUGCUCUGGAACUUAGCGGCUGGAGUUCUGAGAGUUCUUUGCUUCUUCCUUCUUAAUCUAUCAACUUGGGGUAUAGUAGGUGCAAAGAGAGUGGGGAAUUAGAAUUUCAUUUCUCAAAUACCCACAUGUGUAAGAUGAGGUUGUUGAAAUCAUGCAUCUCACAGGUAAUUUGUAGGGAAUAAGUAAAACAGUGUAUUCAAAUGUUAUAGAGGGGGUAGGGGAGAGCAAGAGAGAGACAGAAAAAUCUCAUGUUCCCAGUGUGAACAGUGUCUCAUUUUACUCAUACAUAAUCAGUGCAGACAUUAGGUUAUCUUAACCUGGGGAAGUGUUUUCACAGUUUAAAUUAACAAGUGUUCUAUUCAUCCUAGUGCUGCAGCAGAAACUAUCUCUAAAUCCCACUGGCUUACAACCAUAGCAAAGUUCAGUUUGCUCAUGAAUCUGUACUUCGUUCAAGGCCUGGAAGAGACAGCUCAUGUCUGCCCCAUUUGGCAACAUGGAGAAUGGAAUUAUUUCAUUAUCAUUUAAUCAUGUUUGUGGAAGUUGAUGCUAGGUGCCAGCAGGCAUCUCAGCUGGACUAUAUUCAGCCAACUGACCACUCUGCAGCUGUUCACUUCCUUGGGGUGUGGCAAAUGGUCCUGGGGGCAAAUGUCCAGAGCAAGAGAAGAUCAGAUGCAGAGACCCAUGGCCAGGCACCAGGCUGAGCUCCGGGAAUCCAAUUGAUGAGAGAGAGGAGGGAUUCUGCUGGAGGGGGGACGAGAUCAUGAUGGGAAGACCUGCAGAGAUGAUUGGCCACACUAGUGGAAGCCCAUGAACUGUGGACUGGCGGCUGUGGAGCCCCCAUGGGACUGGACUAGGCCCUCUGGAUAUGGAAGACAGUUGUUUGGCUCAAACUGUUUGGGGGGCACCCAGGCAGGGGAAUCGGGAUCUGUCCCUGGUGCAUGGGCAGGCUUCUGGGAAUCUAGUGCCUGUGGUGUGAUGCCUUACACAGCCUUGUGCUGUGGGAUGUUCUGUAUGUCAAAUGUGUUGCUCUGAUUGGUUAAUAAAUAAAACACUGAUUGGCCAGUAGCCAGGCAGGAAAUAUAGGUAAGACAAGCAGAGAAGAGAAUUCUGGGAAGUGGAAGACUGAGGCAGAGAGACACUGUCAGCUGACACCAUAAAAAGUGAGAUGUAAGUACUCAAAAUUUGGAUAUAAGGAUAUGUUGCUUUGGAAAAGAGGCUCUGCUUUUGUUCCCACAGAAAGCCAGAGGCUAUGGAUUUGUUCCAGAUUAAGAUACAUCAGGUUUGACCAGCCAAGACCCCCUGAAAGGUCUCUGAUGACACCAUGGCCCAGAUGAUCUAACAUCCAGAAUGGUUUCAAGGCAAAUGGCUCAGACAAUACAGCCUCAUGGACUACCCCAUAAGCAUAAAAUUUUCUUUGUGUUCCCAUAAGAUACAGUGCCUCCCUCCAGCAGGAAGUAGUAAGAGAUGCUAUGCCCAAAUUCCCAAAUAUACCAAGCUGACUUUGGAGAUGGAAUUGGCUCACUCCCCUUCUAAACCAAGGCAUAUUGCUAAAAGAAAAGGUUAAGAAAUUCUUGUGUCCCAAAUCAGAAGAACCCUCUGCUGUGGGACAGAGAAAAACCAAUAUUUUUAUUUAAAACAGGUUGAUUAUAAAUACGAUCACUUUCUAAAAAAAAAGGGAGAUAUGAUAUAGAUAUAUAGGAUAUAGAAAUGAUAGGAUAAAAGGGUAGAUUAAUGAACCUACUUUUAAAAAACAACAACUUGUUUAAAAUGUUUUACAUUGGUAUAGAUUUUAGUUUAUUGAUACAAGUUUAAACUUAAUUUUGUUAUACUGUAUAUAUAUUUCUAUUCUCGUUUGAGGUAUUAUGUUUAUGUAACUCAUUUAGAUUGUAGUGAUAAUUAAAAAUACAGAUUAAUAAUUAGUCUUCUAUGAUAGUCAAACUUGUACCAUGUUAGUUAAGUUUUCUAGGUAUACAUAGAUAUAUUUCAGAUAGACAGGUAAUCUUCAAACACUUCAAAGACGUACAGAAUAUGGCCUUUAAAAUAUUUUUAAAAAUUUAGACUUUCUGGACAGUAAGACAUGUCUGCUCCUGGCAGCACCUAUUUACUUCAGAGAGAAGGAUGGGCAUCGAAGACACUCCAUAUGGAGUUUAUCUUCACCUUGGCAAAAAGAGCCAUAUGGGCAAGAAACUGUUCUUGCCUGGACUGCUUGGUCAACUGGACAUGCAGGACCCAUGGAAAGGUGACCACUGAACUUUGCUUGGCAAAAUGAUCCUAUAUGUUCCUGCUUCACAGAGGAAACUGCCAGACAUUCUACAGUACACAGAAAAAAUGACUGAGAGACUCUAGCCCUGUGGGCUAAUGUGGCAACUUAUAGAUUAAUAGAAAUGGGUCAAUUUAAGAUAGAAGAACUAGAUAACAAGAAGCCUGCCAUGGCCAUACAGUUUGUAAGCAAUAUAAGUCUCUGUGUGGUUACUUGGUUGGGUUUGAGCAGCUGUGGGACUGGUGGGUGAGAGAGAUUUGUCCUGACUGUGUGGGCCAGGCAGGACUGGAGAAAACUCCAGCUACAGCCUUGGUGCAGUGGGAAGGGGCUUGGACGUGCCUAGGCUCAGUGUGCUGGGCUCUGCUGACUCCCCAUGGGAGACCUUGAUUUGGGGG